GUCCAGCUGAGCAGUCCCAAAUAGGUCGUUUGUAAUAUCCAAAUCGUCUAGUUGAAUGCAAGCUAUUCAUUGCAUUCUAUGGAUAGGACGAAACGCGCGUCCUGGAU
rnacentral:hammerhead_ribozyme from 1 species